rnacentral:lncRNA from 1 species
CCCCCACCCCCACCCACCCCUCCCCCCCCGCCCCUCGCCAAAAGGACAAAGUUUGAGGAGCUGCUGGGUGAUAAUGACUCCUACUGACCGGGCAAGAUUCCCUCAUUGUCCCACACCUCUCUGAUCUUGUGUGGCACACUAUGGAUAUUAUAAUAUUACUCCACUGAGCACAGACAAUAUGCCGGACACCACACCAAGCCUCAAGAUCAGCACAAUACACAGACUCACUCCAUGAGGCAGAAACUACUAAUAUUCUCUUUAAAGAGAUGAAGAUAUAGAAUACAGAAAAAUUGAAUAAAAUACUUAAGGUCUCCAUGCAUUAAAUGUUGAGCUGAAUAUUCAAAUCCAGCUUAUUGAUUAAGGCUAAUUCUGCUUUUGAAUUAUCUUCCCUAUGGAAAUAAACCUCUUUUCCGGAAGGUCUAAGUCUUGACUGAUCUUUAUAUUCCCCGCUGAGCCUGUUGUGUUACCUCUAG